CUAUAUUGGUUUCUUCCACUACUGGCACUCACUGGAUGUUCUGUAGAAUACUAGUCUUCAAUUUUCAGGAUUGCCAGCCAGUUGUUAACUCUGUUAGCUAAAAAAUUUUGGGACUGAAACCUAAUAAUCUGUAUUGCACCAAGCUGGGAAAAAAACUGCUCUGUAAUAUGACCAAUCGAAGAAGUAAUAUGGGCCAACAUCUUAGUACUGUAGGUGCUUUUUGAGUGUGGACAAGCUCCUCUUGCUAAAUUUAUUCCAUAAGUCCUUUAAAACAUUUUUGAAUAGGAUUCUUCUGCUUUAUGAUAAGCCAAUAUCAACUGGUUUUUCUUGUCACCAUAAAUGUAGCAUACUGUGACAUUUUACAGAUCCUUUAAACUGCCUUUCAGUGAUAAAAGUGCUGCGAAGCCUACAGUAGAGAUCUGUGGCUUUUCUAGCUGGAGGCCAAGCAAACAAUUCCAUCCACUCUGCCCGUCAGACUGAAUUUAUAAGACCUGCAUCUGUGCCUGCAGUUCUGUUUCAUAAGCACAACCAGAGGAGGUACAAGGAGAAAGGCAACAUUCCUGCUAAGGCACUGGUGGUUUUUGAAUAUUGAAUAAAAUUCAUAUUCAAUCUG